UACGUAGGGACCAAGCGUUGUUCGGAUUUACUGGGCGUAAAGGGCGCGUAGGCGGCAAUUCAAGUCAGCUGUGAAAUCUCCGAGCUUAACUCGGAACGGUCAGCUGAUACUGUUUUGCUAGAGUGCAGAAAGGGCAACCGGAAUUCUUGGUGUAGCGGUGAAAUGCGUAGAUAUCAAGAGGAACACCUGAGGCGAAGGCGGGUUGCUAGGCUGACACUGACGCUGAGGCGCGAAAGCCAGGGGAGCGAACGGG
rnacentral:rRNA from 1 species